GGAGGAAUCAGUGCUGCUGCUUUUUCCCUUUUCCCAGAGAUUUUUGCCUGGAUUAAGGUGUGGGAUUGCUCUGCUGGUGCUGUUGGAUAUGAGGAUGUGUCCUCCUUUAUGCACUCACUGAGGGAAAGCUCCUGAUAACAGCUGGGUGCGUUCUCCAGUGAAGGAUCUCUAGAAGGGAAUUUUUCCAGAUGAGGUAAAAGAUUUACACCGAGGAGAUCCUAACCAGCAUCCCCUGGGCAGCGAGGCAGCAGGAGAAGUUCCUGUCAUUGACUUGGACCGAGAGAAUUUGGGAAUGCUGAAAGAUCCUGGGCUGCAGGUUUGUGACCUCCAAGCAGGAAAUACAGGGACAGAAGAGGACACAUUUUCCUGCCUGAUUCUUCUGAAGAUGGAAUAAUGAUGGAUGUGAACUCCCUGUACAGCAAGGAUUGUGAUGGCUGGGAGAAGUACUGUGGGAAUAAGAAGUUGCAGAGUAUCCCAGGAAGAAUGAAAAGGUCCUGGCAUGAAAGUGGAUCAAACAGAGAAGGGCGUGAUUAUUGCUUGUCAAAAUCCAAGUACGUUUGAAGCUGGAUGUGACUUACACCAAUGGGCUUGGGAGAUUCAAGCAGAGCCUGGAAGUCAGACAGAAAUUUCAAGCAACAGUUCUUGUAAAACAUAUGGAGACCAGCCUGGGAAUUUGUAAGGAUCACCGCAGAAUUCCAGAAUGGUUUGGGUCAGAAGGGACCUUCAAGCUCAUCCAGUCCUGCUCCUUUUUAAUGAGAUGUUGCAUUCCAUAAAUAGAGCUGCUGCCUCUGCCUUGAUGGGAAGUUUUGAUCCAGUGAAUAAUGAAUUGUUAAUCUCAUUUGAGACAGAGACAUCAACGCCUUUGCCACAAAAAUUGUCUUUUAAGCAGAGCAAACAAACAUUUAAGUACCCUUCAUGUGGCUGGUUAAGGACUGGAAAAGUUUCACCUCAUAGUGUUGCCCCCAAGGGAAAAGGAGCAUCCAAGAAAUUUUCAGGACCCACAACCCCUCUAGGAAUUUGUACGGAUUCACAGGUAAUAUAGGAAUCGGCAUUCAAUAUUACAAGUUACAUUGUGAUAAUGCAAAAAAGGAAGUUCUUUCAGUGGAUGAAAGAUGCUUCCAAAGAGACAAUCACAUCCUUUUUCCAUGUGGGAGCCUUGUUUGUGUCAGUAACUGAUGCUGCUCUCCUACAGAGAUUCGUGAGGAUGCAGUUGGGAUUAUCUUGGAAAAUAAACUAGAAUUUGGUCAAGGCAGGCAGGUGCCUCCUUGGUUAGCUGGGAAUGUACCAUCUCAUCUUGGAUGACAGAGGAGCUGCCCCUCCCAACAAAAAUCCACAUCCCCAGCAGGAGCCCAGCUGCUUUGGUAACAGAGAUGCUCUGAAGAGCAGAGGGCACGUAGAGAUCCCGCUCUAACCUAAAAUCAAGAAACUUUGUGUGAAUCUGUUGCCUGGAAAAUAUCCCAGGAGCAGCUUACUCUGAUGGACUGUGUGUAAAUAAUCAGCACCUCCCAGGCUACUCCCAAGAUAAAGCACCGUGGCCGGGGAGGGUUGUUGCUUCAUCCCAUCACUCAGCUGGUUUUAUAUCUCCAUGGCAAAGUAGCAAAUAUAUAUGGAUCUGGAGGAGCUUGAUCCAUGGCAUGCCCAGAGCAGGGUUUUUGUAUUUGUGUAUAUUUAUGGUCACUCGCUAAAGGGGCGGUGACCUUUUGAUAGAUUAAUAUAAAGUACUUCAGAUACAGUGGGAGGAAAAUGACUUUGACGGGGAAUCCACUUGUUGGUGCUGGAGUUGCCGUGCAAGUGAAGGGAAUGAGAGGCCCUCAGCUUAAAAACCGGCCCUAAGAAUCAGCCUGGCCACCAAUGUCCACCACUACCUUGAGUAAAGUCCAGCUUUAUAUUGAGUCGGCCCUAACUCCCCAGUAAAUAGAGUCCCUUUGUCUUUUCGCUCAACAAGUUCCUUUUAACAACAUCCAUUUACAGACAUCAAAGGGAAGACAGAGGUGGUGGGAGACAGCCAGGACUGGAUUGCACAGACCCCUGAGGGUCAGGUGAGAGGAUUGCUCCGUGGAAGACUGAUGUGAGCAACGGGAGGCAGAGGGACAUCUCCGUGACCUCGCAGCGGGCUUGGCGAAGGUGCCCCGCGGGGAAGCCGUGCCGGUGGAGCACCAGGGCUUUGUUGUUCCACUGAUAACGUGAUGGGCUCAGCUGGAAACGAUGGCAUUUCCUCCCCUUGCUGAGGAUAAAGUCAGGGCUCUAAAAAACACCAAAGGCUUUGAGGACAUUUUCGAAAGAGCUGCCUGAGACAGAAGUCUCGGAUCAGGAGCCGUCUUGUAAAAAUCCUGGGGAGUAUUGUUAACCCUCGGAGCGCGUUUGGGGAUGUGUCAAUCUUCCAGGGAUACUGCUCCUGCCAGGAAAUCAUAAUUUAUUGAGGUCAAGAGGGUUAAUGGGCUGGACUAUGUGCUACCAAUUGGUAGACAUAAAAUAUAUUUAGUCCUGUGACAAACCUAAAAGGUUUUCAAUAGAGGGAGGCUCACAAUAAAACAUAAAAUGAGUAGUUCUAUUAUUUUUCUCUGAGAGCGCCUUUUUUUUUAUUAUUUUUUUUUCUUUCAAAGAUAAAGGAAAAAGAGAGAAAGCUGAUGUUUAAA